CCAAGUGGAUCAAGGC
rnacentral:tRNA from 5 species